CAGAAAGGGGAGAUCUGGACAUUACUUCAACCACGAAGCCCGAGAGAGAAGCAGAUUCCUCAGAUUGAUCAGUGAAUCUUUGAGGAAAAAAAUCCGACAUCGAUUCCAUAUGCAUCACUGGGUUCGAGCUUCUUCUACCGAUUUCGGCGGAACUCCUCCUCAACCGCGGAGUGGCCACACUGCCGUCAAUGUCGGAAAAUCCAUGGUGGUUGUGUUUGGUGGUCUCGUCGACAAGAAAUUCCUCAGCGACAUAGUUGUCUACGACAUCGACAACAAGCUCUGGUUUCAGCCAGAAUGCACUGGCAGUGGGUCUGACGGGCAAAUAGGCCCCAGUCCGCGCGCGUUUCAUGUUGCUGUUGCAAUUGAUUGUCAUAUGUUCAUCUUUGGCGGACGGUCUGGUAACAAAAGGUUGGGCGACUUUUGGGUCCUAGAUACAGAUAUAUGGCAGUGGUCUGAGCUGACCAGUUUCGGUGACUUGCCUUCACCACGUGAUUUUGCGUCUGCUGCUGCUAUUGGGAACCAGAAAAUUGUAUUGUGUGGUGGCUGGGAUGGUAAAAAGUGGUUAUCAGAUGUGUAUGUUAUGGACACAAUAUCCCUUGAAUGGAUGGAGCUGUCGGUUUCUGGAUCUCUACCGCCUCCUAGGUGUGGCCACACUGCUACCAUGGUUGAGAAAAGGUUGCUUGUUUUUGGUGGCAGAGGAGGGGGCGGCCCAAUCAUGGGUGAUUUGUGGGCAUUGAAAGGUUUGAUAGAUGAAGAGCGUGAAACACCUGGAUGGACCCAACUCAAGCUUCCUGGCCAAGCACCAUCAGCAAGGUGUGGCCAUACAGUUACCUCUGGAGGACACUAUCUUCUGUUAUUUGGGGGACAUGGAACUGGUGGAUGGUUGAGCCGUUAUGAUGUCUAUUAUAAUGACACUAUCAUUUUGGACAGAGUAACCGCUCAGUGGAAGCGUUUACCAAUUAGCAAUGAGUCUCCUCCUGUUCGAGCUUACCAUUCUAUGACUUGCAUUGGCUCUCGUCAUCUAUUAUUUGGUGGUUUUGAUGGGAAAUCAACAUUUGGUGAUCUCUGGUGGUUGGUUCCGGAAGAUGACCCGAUAGCCAAGAGGUCUUCUAUACAUCAAAUUGGAAAUUCUCCUGAAAUCAAGAAUUCAGAAACGGAAUUUGAUAAGGAGGAAAGGCAAAAAGAAAAAUCGGCUAUCGCUGAACUGCAAAAGAAGCUUGAAUUGUCUAUGUCAUGUGGGUUGCACCUUCAGAUUGUAGAGGAGUCAGAAGAUAAAGAAUUCAUCGAGUUAGGAACAAGGUUGAUCAGUGGAGAAGUGGUUGGUGAUCAGGCUUCCUUGGUUCAGGUGGCAGCACUGGCAUGUCGUGAGCAUUGGAAGGAGUCCACCCCGAUGGCUAUACAAUUGAAAGAACUCGGUCCUUUGCUCAGAGAUUAUCAACGUCUGGUUACUCGAAAAUACGUGGCCAAUAACGGGUUGGCAUCGGUUGAUUCUGGGCUCUCGAGGAAAGAAACCUUCAAGUUUUAUCAUCUCAAAAAUCCUUCCCAGUUACGGAUGGAUGACAUCCCGAAGUUGCUUGAAGAGUACAAAACCCUUCUAUCCGAUUGAAGAGUACUUCGGUAUACCUCUUCGUAUGGAGGAACUACAAGCUACUGUCAGGAAGAAGAUGCUAAGAAGAUCACAGACGCAGAUAUCAGAAGGCUGAAGUUUAAGAGAAUCUAAUCUUGGAAUAAGGAUUCAUCGAAUUACCUCCGUCAAUGCGGAAACAAGGUGAUCUUUCUCUUUGUUCUUUUCAUUGGAAGCUUGUAGUUUCACCUUGUAUUCCUUUUCCUGCCUAUAUCUUCUGUUAGAACGAUGGGCUUGAAACAUGUAGAGAUGCCAGAGAAUGACAAAAUACGAUAGAUUCAAGUGUCAAACCUUCUUUUGAUAUCCCGGUUUGCUGCGUC